UCCUUUAUUGGGGGUGUCUUGCUAAUUGCCUAUAAUUUCCACCUGUUGUCUAUUCCAUUUGCACAACAGCAUGUGAAAUUUAUUGUCAAUCAGUGUUGCUUCCUAAGUGGACAGUUUGAUUUCACAGAAGUGUGAUUGACUUGGAGUUACAUUGUGUUGUUUAAGUGUUCCCUUAAUUUUUUUGAGCAGUAUAUUUCAGGAUGUUGUGUAUGACUGAAAAUAAUCAGAAUUCAUGUAAACAUUUAAGUUUUGAAAACAGCUCAUUCAAAAAAAGUGGUUUCUUGGCACAACUGACCCCGGGUAUGCAUAGGGACAGGGUAGGUUGAGCUACCUUGGAGUAAGUGGGUGCUGGUAGGUCAAAGUUUAAUUCAUGGAAUGGGGGUGUGGUAUAUUGUAUAUCUGAAAUGUAUGCCUACAUUCAGAUAUAGAUCACUCUAUUCAAUAUUAUUAACCCUUCCAUUUCUUGACCAGUUGUCAGGGACAGGGAUGUUGUUUUGAUGUGCCAAUUCAUAGGCAAGUUCUCUGCAUGAGGCUACUAAGCCCAUGAAUGCAAAAAAUUAUAAUACUAAUGGGGUACUAAGCACAUGAAAGUGCUCUGCGAGAUUCUUGAUAGGUUUAGCAUGCUCAGACUGUCAUCAGAUAAGACCUUGUGUGCCUCUGCUACUUGGUCACAUGAUUAAUGUUGUAUGGUUUCUUAGAAACAAGGGGUGGCUAAACUAACCUUAAGGCUCAACUUACCCCACUGUCCACAACAGCAUUUACUGAUAUGCUACUUACUGAAAUGUUUACAUUUCUUUAAUCAAUAACUAUUGUAGUGAUGAUACAUUAUUGCUGAUUGCCAUGUAUGGUAACUGUGCAUUUUAUUGCUAUUGAUAUUUGUAAAUAUUGCUGACAUACUGGAAAACAUUUACAGAUCACAUGAAGAAAUAAAUGUACUGCUGCAAUUCUUGCUACUACAAAUGUAGUGUUUUGUACUACAGCUGUACUACGGGUUCAGCUCCGUUUGCAAUACAUUUUCAUAAAAACACUUAAUUAAUCAUGAGAAAUAUUUGAGUAAAAGGAGGGCGCAGGCUCAGAGGCGAUGCUUGGGUGCAUCCAAAAUAAUCUCUCCGCAUUGCUGCGAGCGUCAAAGGCUUGGAAGAUGGCGUCGGUCUUGGUUCGUCAGGCCAGACUGUUGGUGUUGAAAAACAGUCGUGUACCAACAUUUUCUGGGUUUUAUGCUAAUGUAUUCGGAGAGGCACCAUCUCAUUACCGAACAGUUGUGUACUCAGCAUCAGGUGGUAUUUUGCCAAAACCCAAGAAGGUGAGUGCUGUCUUGUGAAAAUAUGCGCAGGUCAUUAAUGAAAUCAAUGAGUGGGGAAGGAAUUUAGUAAAGGUGCCUGAAAGUUAUUUGUGCAUGAUAAAAUGGCCAGGCAAGAUUUGUAAUUAUAUCUUAUAAAUUAAUAGGAGUGUUUAAUCGCAGGUAGGAUCUCGGUGAGCCUAUACCUCUCCAUUUCACUUGAAGUGUUAUAAAUACAUGCCUGUUUAAAUGUGUAAAGCAUGCAUCAUGUUGUAAAUUAUUUAUGACAUUCAUUUUUUAUUUUAUCCUGGUAGCCAUUGUGUAUAAAAUCACACAGCAUUGCAGGCUAACAUAGAUAUGUUUUUGUGAUGGAAUUGUUGACAAUGGUCCAGACCUCAUUUGGCCUCUUCCGGAUUGCUGUGGUUGUGAUCCCCUUCCUGUAUGUCGGAACUCUGAUCAGCAAGAACUUUGCUGCGCUGCUGGAAGAGCAUGACAUCUUCGUCCCUGAGGAUGAUGACGAUGAUGACUGAAGGGUCUGUAUGCUCCAACAUAUGACCUGGAGCGUAAUGUGUCGCCUCUCAAGACAACGGGAAGACGUGUGACAGCUGAAAAGACUUGAUGAUCUUAAACUCAAAGCCAUUCUGGUGCUUCUCUCCCCAUCCAUUGUGAUGUGUGCCUGCCUGGAUACAGAGCUGUUUUAGAGAAGUGAUAGGACUAAUUCCUCCCUAGUGAUAAUGUUUACCUGCACAGAUAAGUCUUACUAAAUAAAAUAGAUCGAUGUGCAGAAGGAAACCCUUGGAUCAGUUGCUUUUGAUUUAGCCAGUGAUAUCUUCUACAUUGAUGGAAAUAUUUGUUCUGUUUUCAAUCAUUCUGGGGAUAUUGAUUUACGUGGGAAGGCCUUAAUCAGGUGACAGGCCUGCAUAGGUGUCCCUAUUUAUCUGGUUUCUGAUAUAGGUUAUCAGAACCCUUGGUGCUUUUUAUUCCAACCCGUUGCAUUUGUUUUUGAUGAACUGAUCUAAUAAAGUUGACCUAUAUGUAAUGUC